ensembl:lncRNA
CACAACUACAUCGUCUGGUCCAACAAGUACCACAGAGAUUCCAACAACCACAACAACUGCUCCCACAACCACAACUGCAGGUCCAACAACUACCACAGCAGUUCCAACAACUACAACUUCAAGUCCAACAACUACCACAGCAGGUCCCACAACAACAACAGCUCCUGGAACAACCACAACUGAAGGUCCAACAACUACCACAGACGGUCCUACAACAACGACAGCAGCUCAACCCACCACAACUGCAGGUCCAACAACUACCACAGCAGUUCCAACAACUACAACUUCAAGUCCAACAACUACCACAGCAGGUCCCACAACGAGAACAGCAACUCCAACAACUACCUCGUCUGGUCCAACAAGUACCACAGAAAGUCCAACAACUACCACAGCUGGUCCCACAACAACAACAGCAACUCCCCCAAGUACCACAGAGAUUCCAACAACCACUCCCACAACCACAUCUGCAGGUCCAACAACUACCACAGCAGUUCCAACAACUACAACCUCAAGUCCAACAACUACCACAGCUGGUCCUACAACGAACACAGCUCCUGAAACAACCACAACUGAUGGUCCAACAACUAUCACAGCCGGUCCCACAACAACAACAGCAACUCCCACAACUACAUCGUCUGGUCCAACAAGUACCACGGAGAGCUCAACAACCACAACAGCUGCUCCAACAACUAUAACCUCAAGUCCAACAACUACCACAGCAGGUCCCACAACAACAAAAGCAACUCCCACAACUACAUCGUCUGGUCCAACAAGUACCACAGAGAUUCCAACAACCACAACAACUGCUCCCACAACCACAACUGCAGGUCCAACAACUACCACAGCUGUUCAAAUAACUACAACUUCAAGUCCAACAACUACCACAGCUGGUCCCAGAACGACAACAGCUCCUGAAACAAACACAACUGAAGGUCCAACAACUACCACAGCAGGUCCCACAACAACAAAAGCAACCCCCAAAACUACAUCGUCUGGUCCAACAAGUACCACGGAGGGUCCAACGACCUCAACAGCUGCUCCAACAACUACAACAGCUGCUCAAUCCACCAAAACUGCAGGUCCAAUAACUACCACAGCAGUUCCAACAACUACAACUUCAAGUCCAACAUCUCCCACAGCAAGUCCCAGAACAACAACAGCAACUCCUACAACUACAUCGUCUGGUCCAACAAGUACCACGGAAAGUCCAACAACCGCAACAGCUGCUCCAACAACCACAACUGCAGGUCCAACAACUACCACAGCAGUUCCAACAACUACAACUUCAGGUCCAACAACUACUACAUCAGUUUCAACAACUAUUACAGCAGAUCCCGCAACAACAACUUUUGCUCCAGCCACCACAACUGUAGGUCCAACAACUACCAAAGCAGUUCUCUCAAUAAUAACAGCAGGUCAAACAACUACAACGGUAGGUCGUGCAACAACAACAGCUGCUCAAAACACCACAACUGCAGGUCCAACAACUGCGACAGAAACUUAUACAACAGCAGUUCCAACAACUACAACAUCAGGUCCCACAACUACAACAGCUGCUCAAACCACGACAACCGCAUUUCAAAAAACAACAUCAAGACGAACAACGUCCACUGCAAGUCCCACAACGACAACUGCUAAUCAAACCACAACAACAACAGCAGGUUCAAAAACCCCAACUGCUGUUCCUACAACCACAGCUACUCCAACCACCUCAAUUGGAAGACCUACAACUUCAACUGUAGGCCCAACAACAACAAUCGCAGGUACCACAAUUACCAUUGCGGGCCCCACAACAACAACAACAACAGUUGGUCUCACAACUACAACAGCAACUAAAGCAACUAAAGAAGUCACAGGCACUCCGACUAGUUCCCCGGAAUCCACAACAGUAUCAACUAACCCUCCAGAAGAAGAUGAAGGCUACCUUCUACUGCAGUUUCGAAUAAUGCGUAAAUGGAUCCCAGCUUACAUCAAUCGUCAGUCUAAAGAAUACAAAGCGAUCAGUUUUAAUAUAACAACAGAGUGCAAUAGAGGAUACCGCCAUUCCUAUCCGAACAUUUUCCUUAGAUCGCAUCUAAGACAUCUGUGGGAAGGCUCUGUGGGGACAGAUCUUGAUCUGAUCUUUGUGAAUCAAUCAGUUGUGCCAAACAUUACUAGUGUAGAAGAAUCUCUGAAAACUGCACUAGAUGCAUCGAUUAUAUUCCUGAAUAUAAUUCCAAGCAGUAUCAAAGCAGCCAUGCCAAAUAUGACCGAAGAUACCUCAUCCACAACUGCUGCUGCAACAUCAACAACAGCAACAACAACAAGACCACACAGACCCACCACUGUAGGGUCUUCAACAACAUCAAGAUUAACAACGCCAAAUAAUGCCGCAGCUACAGCCACAAGCACAUCUGCAACCAGCAACCGAGCAGCUAGCAAAAAUAUUGAUCUAUUCGCUAGACUGUUCUUCACCUCACUGCUUCACGCCCUGUUUAACAAUGUAUAAACAAUCAUGGUUUCAUAAUCUUUCAGGGUUUCAAGUUUUCAUAGAGGACUUGUCUAUUAAUGUAAAAAAAAAUAUAUAUGUAAUAUUUACUAAUUAGUAUUUUAUUAAUGAAUUACUUAUGAUUUGUAUGUGAAUAUUUACUAAUAUAUUAUCUGUUUAAAAUCAAACAAUGUAUGUCAAUCAUUUUAAAUAAAGGAAAAAAUCUGGAAACAUGUACAACUUACAUAUGGAACAUAUAUGUACGUGGGUAGCAAUUACAAUAGUGUUAUUACCUUUCACGAUUUCAUUUCUCUCUUAAAAC